ensembl:lncRNA
AGGGGGGGACCUGGGCCGUGGAGCAGAGACAGACCAUGGAGCAGAGGGGGACCUGGGCUGUGGAGCAGAGACAGACCUUGAAGCAGAGGGGGACCUGGGCCAUGGAGCAGUGACAGACCAUGGAGCAGAGGUGGACCUGGGCCAUGAAGCAGUGACAGAUCAUGGAACAGAGGGGGACCUGGGCCGUGGAGCAGAGACAGACCAUGAAGCAGAGGGGGACCUCGGCCAUGAAGCAGUGACAGAUCAGGAAGCAGAGGGGGACCUGGGCCAUGAAGCAGUGACAGACCAUGAAGCAGAGGUGGACCUGGGCCAUGAAGCAGUGACAGAAAAUGGAGCCAUGGCGGAGCAGUCCUAGCGGGGAGCCAUGGCGGAGUAGGCCCAGCGGGGUGGCCAGGCAGUGCAGGCAGAGCUGGAAACCAUGGUGAAGCAGAGACAUGGACAGACCACUUGGCCGUUACAGGACAGGCAGUGAGCUCAUGAGCAGCCUCCGUGGCCGAGACAGGACAGGCAGAGAGCUCGUGGAUGUCCUCCUUGGCCGUGACAGGACAGGCAGAGAGCUCGUGGAUGUCCUCCUUGGCCGUGACAGGACAGGCAGAGAGCUCGUGGACAGGAAAAGUCUCUGGAAUGCAGUGAGUUGCCCACACACUCAAAAUGGCGACUGCCCUUAUUAGAAGUACUGAGGCCACGGGAACAGUCUCAGUGUCUGCCAAGACUUGACGUGGCGGCCAUCUUGGCCGGGGACUCUGGCGUGGCGGCCAUCUUGGCCGGCGACUCUGGCGUGGCGGCCAUCUUGGCCGGGGACUCUGGCGUGGCGGCCAUCUUGGCCGGGGACUCAUACCCAACAACAACUUAGCUUUACUUGAUUAUCCAUAUAUCUUUUUUUUUUUUUUUUUAGAAAAAUCCCAUCAAAAAACCCAUCAGGCAUUUGAGUAAUAUUCAUUAGUUCAUCUCUCAAUCAUCAUUGUAUUGCAUUAUGUUUUGCCCCACAAGAAAAACUACAGAGCUUUGAUCAUAAACUAAGUAUUUAAAUACCAUCUUAUUAAGAAUAUGAUUGGGAGAUAUCGAGUGACAGCUGGUUUAUAUGCAUUUUAUGCAAGUAGGUAUAUAAAGUUUCAAUAAACAGUUCCACUUCAAAAAAUGUGAAUUGUUCAGACUAUUAUUUCAAACUUUAGGCUUUACAUGGUUAAUUUUUUUCCAAUUCCACCUUUAUUUUCAAUCGAUCAGAUCACCAAAAACACAUCUUAAUAUCAGGAGGAGAAAGUAACAGCAUUAACAUAAUAAGUGGGCUACAUGAAUUAAUGGUUGGACACAUUUUAAAAAGUAUUUUUUAUUUCAGACAGACUGAGAAAAUAAAGUUACUGGAGUAGCUCUGCAGCUUUGAUGCCUGCAUUCAGUGUAGACAGUUGUGAAAGAAAAGAUUUAGGACCUUGUUAAAAAAAUCCCUUUUACCAACUGAACUACAUAAAAGAGGAUUAAAUAACACAAAUUCUUUGUAUAUUUUCACUUAUUUUGUAAUACAUAUAGGUUAACAUAUGUAUAUGUAUGUGUAUAUACAUGUAUGUGUGUGUGUGUGUGUGUGUGUGUGUAUAUAUAUAUAUAUAUAUAUAUAUAUAUAUACAGUCACAAAAAUAUCAGCAGCCUUGGUAAAUAUGAUCAAAGAAGGCUGUAAAAAUGCAUCUGCAUUGUUAAUCCUUUUGAUCUUUUAUUUAAAAAAAUUCACAAAAAUGUAUCCUUUCAUUGGAUAAUAAGAGUUCAAAAUGGGGGGAAAUAUCAUUAUGAAAUAAAGGUUUUUCUCAAAUACACAUUGGCCACAAUUAACGGCACUCUUUUAUUCAAUACUUUUUGAAACCUCAAUUUGCCAGUUUAACAGGUCUAAAUGUUCUUCUAUAAUGCCUGAUGAGGUUAGAGAACACCUGACAAGAGAUCAGAGACCAUUCCUUCAUCCAGAAUUAACUCCAGACCCUUUAGAUUCCCAGCUCCAUAUGUUGGUGCUUCUCCUCUUCAGUUCACUCCACUGAUUUUCUAUAGGGUUCAGGUCAGAGGACUGGAAUGGCCAUAGCAGAAGCUUGGUUUUGUGCUCAGUGACCCAUUUAUGUGUUGUUUUUGCUGGAUAUUUUGCCGAUAUUUUUGGCCAUGACUGUAUAUAUAUAUAUAUAUAUAUAUAUAUAUAUAUAUAUAUAUACACUAUUUACAGCAAAAAAGUCCCUUCAGAGGACAACGGGUGACACGUGUAGGAAUUGGAUUCAGGCCAAAUUCCUGGAUCAUAUCCUGGGUCACAUCCAGCACUUCCCUCACCUGUUGCUCUGAUAAAACCCCCUUCCAGCGCAGCAGACCAGGUACAUACUGCUUACUGCAAAACAAUGAGAAGAAUACUUCACUGCACUGUCUGAUGAAAACAUAAUCACUCAUUCUCUGUUUGAAUACUCACACUCCAUUUUAAACAACUGUAAAUACAUGUUUGCAUUUGUAGUGAAGUGUUAAUUGUGAUAUGAGUUUACCUCUCCUGAGGGAAAUCUCUCAACAAAUUGCAACAGGUAAUCUUCAGUGCUUCUACAUCACUGCAAAGCAAAACUUCACUCAUUCUCUGAAGGAGCUGGUUCUGCUGGUUAGCACUGACAUUCUGCAAGCAAAAAUCACUUUACUUAAACCAUGUGCUUUUUACACAUUCUGUACCGUAUAUGGAACAAUUAUGCUGAAUGUUGUUGUUUUCCGAGGGUCAAGUGCAUCAGGAAAUCAGCCCUUAAAAACAAGAGUUAUUUGAGGAAUAAAAAAGUUAUUCUUUUCACCAGUUCAGAGAAUGUUUCUUGAAAAUAUUGAACAUCCUCUUUUAUAUUUUCCUCAGCAUUUCCCCAACGCUGCUCUAGGUUUCUGAAGUUUGUCUUCAUCAGGCAAUCCAGGUACACUUUGGAAACACUGUCAUAAGCUAUUUUCACAAUGA